AUUGAACGCUGGCGGCAGGCCUAACACAUGCAAGUCGAGCGGAUGAAGGGAGCUUGCUCCUGGAUUCAGCGGCGGACGGGUGAGUAAUGCCUAGGAAUCUGCCUGGUAGUGGGGGAUAACGUCCGGAAACGGGCGCUAAUACCGCAUACGUCCUGAGGGAGAAAGUGGGGGAUCUUCGGACCUCACGCUAUCAGAUGAGCCUAAGUCGGAUUAGCUAGUUGGUGGGGUAAAGGCCUACCAAGGCGACGAUCCGUAACUGGUCUGAGAGGAUGAUCAGUCACACUGGAACUGAGACACGGUCCAGACUCCUACGGGAGGCAGCAGUGGGGAAUAUUGGACAAUGGGCGAAAGCCUGAUCCAGCCAUGCCGCGUGUGUGAAGAAGGUCUUCGGAUUGUAAAGCACUUUAAGUUGGGAGGAAGGGCAGUAAGUUAAUACCUUGCUGUUUUGACGUUACCAACAGAAUAAGCGCCGGCUAACUUCGUG
rnacentral:rRNA from 1 species